rnacentral:RNase_P_RNA from 1 species
UGAGUAAGACAGAUGAUCGCAGAUGCAAGUGCCGAAAGGCCGCAUGUGAGGAAAGUCCGGGCUUUACAGAGCAGGAUGCCGGAUAACGUCCGGUGGAGGCGACUCCAAGGCUAGUGCAAUAGAAAUAUACCGCCAUUCGUGCAUUAAGUACGAGGGUAAGGGUGGAAGGGUAGCUUAAGAGACUACCGCCUGGUUGGUAACAACUAGGGCAGAUGUAAACCCCAUUCGAAGCAAGACCAAAUUAAAAGCGAUACGGCUGCUCGUCGUGCUUUUAGGUAGGCCGCUUGAGUCUAUUGGUAACAAUAGACCUAGAUAGAUGAUCAUCUAAUACAUGACCCGGCUUAUAGUUUUGCUCAUUUA